GUUGAAGAGACUUGGUUGGUCAUGUGUAUUCUUGAGUGAAUAACACUUUAUGUUCGUUGUUAUUGCUUGAGAAUACACGUAGUUAACAAGUCCAUGCGUCC
rnacentral:pre_miRNA from 1 species